UACGGAAGCAGCAGGGGGAAUAUUGCACAAUGGGCGCAAGCCUGAUGCAGCCAUGCCGCGUGUAUGAAAAAGGCCUUCGGGUUGUAAAGUACUUUCAGUCGUGAGGAAGGUGUUAAGGUUAAUAACCUUAGCAAUUGACGUUAGCGACAGAAGAAGCACCGGCUAACUCCGUGCCAGCAGCCGCGGUAAUACGGAGGGUGCGAGCGUUAAUCGGAAUUACUGGGCGUAAAGGGCACGCAGGCGGUUAAUUAAGUUGGAUGUGAAAUCCCCGGGCUUAACCUGGGAAUGGCAUUCAAGACUGGUUAGCUAGAGUCUUGUAGAGGGGGUAGAUUCCAUGUGUAGCGGUGAAAUGCGUAGAGAUGUGGAGGAAUACCGGUGGCGAAGGCGGCCCCUGGACAAAGACUGACGCUCAUGUGCGAAAGCGUGGGGAGCAAACAGGGAUUUAGAUACC
rnacentral:rRNA from 1 species